GUUGUUUUAGCGCAGUGAACAGCGUGUCGGACUUCUACUCCGAAAGACGUGUGUUUAAUAACCAACAGACAUUG